GAUGAACGCUAGCGGCAGGCCUAAUACAUGUAGGUCGAACGGGCCCAGGGAGCUGCCUCCCAGUGAGAGUGGCGCACGGGUGCGUAACACGUAUGCAACCUACCUUCAACUGGGGGAUAGCCUUCCGGAAGGAAGAUCAAUACCGCACAACAUAAUUAAAUGGCAUCAUUUGAUGAUCUAACGGCAGGGUGUAAGCUGGGCAUGCGUCCGAUUAGCUAGUUGGUGGGGUAACGGCACACCAAGGCGACGAUCGGUAGGGGAGCUGAGAGGAUGACCCCCCACACUGGUACUGAGACACGGACCAGACUCCUACGGGAGGCAGCAGUAAGGAAUAUUGGUCAAUGGACGCAAGUCUGAACCAGCCAUGCCGCGUGCAGGAAGACGGUCCUCUGGAUUGUAAACUGCUUUUGUUAGGGAAGAAACCCUCGGAUGCGUCCGGGGCUGACGGUACCUAAAGAAUAAGGAUCGGCUAACUCCGUGCCAGCCGCCGCAGUAAAAC
rnacentral:rRNA from 1 species